CAGCCGCCGCGGGAAUACGUAGGUGGCAAGCGUUGUCCGGAAUUAUUGGGCGUAAAGGGCUCGCAGGCGGUUUCUUAAGUCUGAUGUGAAAGCCCCCGGCUCAACCGGGGAGGGUCAUUGGAAACUGGGAAACUUGAGUGCAGAAGAGGAGAGUGGAAUUCCACGUGUAGCGGUGAAAUGCGUAGAGAUGUGGAGGAACACCAGUGGCGAAGGCGACUCUCCGGUCUGUAACUGACGCUGAGGAGCGAAAGCGUGGGGAGCGAACAGGAUUAGAUACCCGGGUAGUCCCUGUCUCUUAUAC
rnacentral:rRNA from 1 species